AGAGUUUGAUCAUGGCUCAGGUUGAACGCUGGCGGCAUGCUUUACACAUGCAAGUCGAACGGCAGCGCGGGGCAACCUGGCGGCGAGUGGCGAACGGGUGAGUAAUAUAUCGGAACGUACCCAAGAGUGGGGGAUAACGUAGCGAAAGUUACGCUAAUACCGCAUACGAUCUAUGGAUGAAAGCAGGGGACCGCAAGGCCUUGUGCUCCUGGAGCGGCCGAUAUCUGAUUAGCUAGUUGGUAGGGUAAAGGCCUACCAAGGCGACGAUCAGUAGCUGGUCUGAGAGGACGACCAGCCACACUGGAACUGAGACACGGUCCAGACUCCUACGGGAGGCAGCAGUGGGGAAUUUUGGACAAUGGGCGCAAGCCUGAUCCAGCAAUGCCGCGUGAGUGAAGAAGGCCUUCGGGUUGUAAAGCUCUUUUGUCAGGGAAGAAACGGCAGGCGCUAAUAUCGCCUGCUAAUGACGGUACCUGAAGAAUAAGCACCGGCUAACUACGUGCCAGCAGCCGCGGUAAUACGUAGGGUGCAAGCGUUAAUCGGAAUUACUGGGCGUAAAGCGUGCGCAGGCGGUUUUGUAAGUCUGUCGUGAAAGCCCCGGGCUCAACCUGGGAAUUGCGAUGGAGACUGCAAGGCUUGAAUCUGGCAGAGGGGGGUAGAAUUCCACGUGUAGCAGUGAAAUGCGUAGAGAUGUGGAGGAACACCGAUGGCGAAGGCAGCCCCCUGGGUCAAGAUUGACGCUCAUGCACGAAAGCGUGGGGAGCAAACAGGAUUAGAUACCCCGGUAGUCC
rnacentral:rRNA from 1 species